AGAUAAAAGUUUUAAAAACUAAAAGAAUGUUAAAUAUGUGGCCAGAAUUUGAUUGUAACCAAUCACCAUUAGUGUUUUAUUGGAAUAUAUUUGAUCAAUUAUGGAAAAUAAAAGAUUUACACACUUCUAAGCAAUAAUAGUUUGACUUAUAUAUCAAUAACCCUUUAAAUAAACAACUAUAAAAGCUGUGGCUGGCUCCCAGCAUGCAUUAGUGUGUAGUACACCUGGAGUGGGAGUCUGGCCCGCAGUUUCCGCGCAGCCGCAGUGCACGGCUCCCUCUGGUAACUGAAUAGCUAGUGUAAUCUGACACUUCAACUUGCCGUGCUCUACGGUAGUUGAUUCGGUCAGUCAGUCUCUCCGUCUUCGGGGAUCUCACGUCGUCUUUGUGAAGUGUACGCCGCGAACGAAUAGAGGAGCGCCGCCAAACGCGCGCCUUGGACAAACAACCACGCGCCUCUUUGCCUCAGAGCGCAGAGCUGAAAAUCGUCCCUCAAGGAGAGGUUGGAGAGGGGGUGUGCAGGAGGAAUACAUGAAGGGUGGGACAGAGAACGGGGUGGCAACAUAGGAGCUAAAACACUUGAGGUCACACAGACUCGCUCUGUGAUUGAUGAGGAUUAAGGAGAGGGAUUUUGCCAACAAGCAAACACAGGAACGUCCUCCACAAACUGGUAAA